UACAGAGGUCUCAAGCGUUGUUCGGAUUCAUUGGGCGUAAAGGGUGCGUAGGUGGCGCCGUAAGUCAGGUGUGAAAUUUCGGAGCUUAACUCCGAAACUGCAUUUGAUACUGGCGUGCUUGAGGACUGGAGAGGAGACUGGAAUUCACGGUGUAGCAGUGAAAUGCGUAGAGAUCGUGAGGAAGACCAGUGGCGAAGGCGGGUCGUCUGGACAGUUCCUGACACUGAGGCACGAAGGCCAGGGGAGCAAACGGG
rnacentral:rRNA from 1 species